CCACUAACAUGGUUUCUUAACAGGGGCAGUCAUGCUCGUCUGGCAGUCGAGGCUUUUCCUUGCCGUUGCUGUAAAAGGACUGCAGCUGCGCGGCCAGAUUAACCUAAAGGAAAAGCCGUCAGGACAGGAUUAUGCUUGUCCCGUUUCAUUAGCAUGCAGAAAACACAGCACAAUCAAAUCCUCAUUCCUCAGAGUCAUUAUGGACACAGCAGACAUCUGGCUUGCAGAACGAAACUUAUCAGUUCAGGAUCCAAUUAGACGAAUGAAUCAGAGUCCUAAAGUAGAUCAAACCUACCUAUGUACUCCUGGGGGAUAACCCAAAUGCUGCCCGCAUCAUUGACCAUCUUUGAAGGCAUGACUAUUAUACAUCCAAUGAAGCAUCUCAAAGAUUUGGCUUAAUUUUGUUCCUCUCCCACCUCUCCAUUUAAACAAAUGGAUGUAAAAGCAUAACUGUGUCUCAUACAGGCUCAAGCAGCCACAAACAACAGUUAACAGCUGAUACUAAAAGCUGCUUUGGUACAUGUUUUUGCAGGAGUUCACCCCAUGAGUGCAACUGCUGGGCAGCUGCAUACCCUUCUAGAUAUAUCUUCAAUGAAGUGAGCAAGCAUAGGUAACAGGAUAUGAACAUAGCCAAUGCACUGUGAAACACUGCUUCUAGAGCAUACUUCUGUGAUUCACAGAUUUGAACACUAAAGAGCAGUAGAUGUAAUAAACUUGAAAGUCAUAAACCAAAUCUCAUUAAGAACAACAUUCACCCACUGGCGUCAACAUGUACUAUGAGUAUUUUUCCAACAGCAAGGUUCCAGGAGGCCAUGGGAAACCUGAAAUCCUCUGAAGCAGAUAAGCUGAAACAUUUUAAAGCCUGUCAACUCCUGCACUGUAUGAUUUCGAAAAGUCAUUUUCCUUUGAGAUUUCAGAAAUGCACUUAUCUUGGUACAGAACAAGAACGGCAAAACAUGAGCACUUGAACUCUUCCUCUCCCCAGGCAGACAGACUAAAUGGGUUCUACCCUACCACGGGCACUGAAAAUGCCAGAUAUGUCUGUCUCUGCACAUCCUGUUAAAAAAAAGCAUAUCAUAAUACAAUCUCCCAAACAUAAGUAUGCAAAGAAGGGAAUGGGACAGCAAGCUUACUAAUAAAAAAUCCUAUUAACACAAAGCAAACCCAAAGUUUCCUCCUGAGAGCUCUACUGAUCUGGGAAACAACCCAGGAUGAUGAGUUCACAUGGGCAGAUUUCAACAAGCCAAAUGGAAACCACAACAACAUUUUCAGAGUUGCCUAAGGUUAUCUGAGAACCUGAUUCCACUGAGAGCCACACAGACUCAGGCUUUCAAGUUUAUGAGGCACUUUGCAAAAGCCUGUCUGCUGUGAAGUCUUAUUCAUAAGAAUACCAGUGGAAGGCAAACAGAAAACAGCAUCCAUGUUAUUAACUCUGCGACGAUUCAAAGAUUUGACUUGGCUCCUGCUAGACCUCCUUUUAAUGUACACAGAGAAGGAAGCAACUACUCAAGUAGAGGCUCAGAACCACUCCUCUGCCUCAAAUUGAUUCGAAUGCUUUUCAGAGUAACUAGUAUUUCAGUCACCAGUCCUGUUUGCCAUGGACAUCAGUCUGCAAUGAGGACAUGGAGGAAAGAAUCCUAUCCCACCCAAACAAAAAAUACUCUAUGUAUCUCCUGUCCAAUGAAGCCUCCAAUGAGGAAUCAGCCAUAGUACUUUGUCUCCAGUAGGCAGAGUAAAGAUGUGUCUUACAUUGUCUAAAUCUUUUCGCAGAGCAAUCUUGCUGGUCACCAGCUCAUGUGCAAGAUCAUCAUUUUCUUGCUCAAGCCUCAUGUUUGCUUCUUGUAGGCGCCGGUUCUCACGCUGUGGGAAACAAACAAACAAUUAUCAGGAACGAGAUCUUCCCAGGUCUUUGUCUUCAAACACGAUUCUUCCUGUGCCGAAGCACAAACACCUACCUUGCAUCUUAAGUAUGCAAGGACAAAACUAGCCAGCUACAUUGGAAACAUAAAAUUAAAGAACAUAAAGUAGUAAUCCUGAGAAGAACCCAUGUAUAAAUAACCCUGCUCAGCUACCUCCUGUUGAGCUCCAGAAAGGCUUUUGAAGGCUGCAAUAGCAGAGGUAUCAUUCUGCCAUAAAUACCUUGCCAGAAGGUUCCUACAAACACUGACUUUUCUUGGCUCAAAAUAGAAUUUGCAUGCUGGAAACAGGUGAGAGAGGAGGAUCCAGGCAAAUCCCCUCUAUUUUCUGCCUCCUGUUAGAACUACCAGCACACUGCCAGGUAGUAAAGAAAGUUUACAUAAAAGUUUUCAGCUUAAAAGAUAUAAAUGUAUGUAUGUGUGUGUUACUUUGUUCCAUAUAGGCAUAAUUUUACUUAUAGAACUUAUUCCUGUGUUUAUUUUAUAAAUAAAAUAUUUAUUAAUUUAUA